AUUUGGGGUCAGAUGCUGAGAUUUGGGGCCGAUUGGGCUGAAUUUGGGGUCGGGUGCUGAGAUUUGGGGUCAUUUUGUGAGGGUUUGGGGUCAGAUGCUGAGAUUUGGGAUCAGUUCAUGAGAGUUUGGGGUCAGAUGCUGAGAUUUGGGGUCAGAUGCUGAGAUUUGGGGCCGAUUGGGCUGAAUUUGGGGUCAGAUCUGGAGAUAUGGGGUCAUUUCGUGAGAGUUUGGGGUCAGAUGCUGAGAUUUGGGAUCAGUUCAUGAGAGUUUGGGGUCAGAUGCUGAGAUUUGGGGUCAGAUGCUGAGAUUUGGGGCCGAUUGGGCUGAAUUUGGGGUCAGGUGCUGAGGUUUGGGGUCAGUCUGUGAGAGUUUGGGGUCAGAUGCUGAGAUUUGGGGUCAGUUUGUGAGAGUUUGGGGUCAGGGCCGGAGAUUUGGGGUCAGAUGCUGAGAUUUGGGGCCGAUUGGGCUGAAUUUGGGGUCGGGUGCUGAGGUUUGGGGUCAGUUUGUGAGAGUUUAGGGUCAGAUGCUGAGAUUUGGGGUCCGUUUGUGAGAGUUUGGGGUCAGAUGCUGAGAUUUGGGGUCG
rnacentral:lncRNA from 1 species